rnacentral:rRNA from 1 species
GCAUCGAUGAAGAACGCAGCGAAAUGCGAUAAUUAAUGUGAAUUGCAGAAUUCAGUGAAUCAUCGAGUCUUUGAACGCACAUUGCGCCCCCUGGUAUUCCGGGGGGCAUGCCUGUCCGAGCGUCAUUGCUGCCCUCAAGCACGGCUUGUGUGUUGGGCUUCCGUCCCUGGUAACGGGGACGGGCCCAAAAGGCAGUGGCGGCACCAUGUCUGGUCCUCGAGCGUAUGGGGCUUUGUCACCCGCUCCCGUAGGUCCAGCUGGCAGCUAGCCUCGCAACCAAUCUUUUUAACCAGGUUGACCUCGGAUCAGGUAGGGAUACCCGCUGAACUUAAGCAUAUCAAUAAGCGGAGGA